CGGAUCCUUUUUGCGUAUCUACGUCCAAUUGACAUAAGGCGAAUGGCCGAUCACUAGUCGGACGUAUGUUGCGCCAACCCUACAUUUAAACGGGAUGAGUAUAAGAAGAUAAAAGUAAUUAAAAAGCUGGUUUUUGAUUACUUGGACUGGGUUUCCAAAUUUAUUUCAAAGUAACAGUCGCUCUGACACUAUAAAUUUUAUUUUUUCGCGUCCUGAGUAACAGUUACACAUUUACUUGAGUAAAUGUAAAAGUUCUAAAUGUUAGGUAGUGAAUAUCGACAUUAAGGACAAAGAACUCCAGCACGAUCGUGUUCAAAUUUUAUUUGGGUAAGUCAAUUUGUUACCACGUGUAUGGAGGAAUAAACGGUCCUUCUUAGCAGAACUUCCUCCCUGUACUUGGAUAAGUCAAGUGUAAUCCGCCAGGAGUGUUGGCCGAUGCUCCGGCUGGGGUCGCACUAAAGACCGAACUGCCCAUCGGCCAUGCAUCCCCUCGCGGUGUGCAAUACCUGUGGAUUAGAGGUAAUUUCUUGUAAAGGUUUUUCCCUGCGGCUGAGGGGGUUAAGUCAUGCCUCAGGCGCAGUAGUCACUUCGAAACAUGACCAUAAGUCCCCUGGUCUUUUGAUUUCUUGUACAAUAUUUUUUUAAUAGGUAAUAGUGGUAUUGUAAAAGAGCAUGCAUACACUUUAAAAUUACAAAAUGCUGCUUAGACAUUUUCUGACUUGGUUAUUUUGUUUCAGGUUUACCUAAAGGCAAAUAUGCAAAUCAUGCGCUUCAAAAGCGUCGCGGAAGGAAACGCUGCGUAGGUUGCUACGACAAAUUACGGAUAUCGUUAGAUAGCGCGCAAGCUGGAAAAAGAACAAAAAAAGUUGUUACUUAUUGUGCCCAAUGUGAUAAAACCUUAUGUUCGCCUUGUUUUAAAGAAAAACAUUCGGAAUAAUUUUGUAAUAAUUAUUUAAUAUCGUUAUUGUAACUCUCAUCUAUUGUUAUUUUUUUUUGUACCGGAACAAAAUACCUGUAAGGCGGUAUCUGCGUUCUAACAAACAUGUAAAAGAAAUAAUAAUAAAAUAAAUUUAUUAUAUACCUAGUAGGAAAUUGAAAUAAAUAAAUGGUUAAUCGUGUGAUUAAAUCGUACGAUAUACGCUAAAGCUCAGUGAAGGAGGCUAAAAUAAAAUAACGUAAUUAGCUUAUACCCUGCAUAUGAGGAUAGUGGGCAACUCAUUAAAACAUUGCUUUAAAUUAUUUUAAUAUAACCCAUUAAGUAGUGUUUUAGUGUAGGAAGUUAGGAUAACAAUAAUAAUACAUAAUUUGCAUUAUUUGUUUAUAUAAACCAUAAAAUACUCUAUCCAUAUAUAAUCUAGCGAAUAUAUCUUGAUGUGAUGUUUAACCAAAUUCUUAAUUAAUAAAUAUCGUAAGUAGUUUGGUAAAUGUAAUAAGUAUAUCUUUAAUAACUAGCUAGUGUUCCAAUGUACUCUGGAUGAUAAUUGUAUUUUAGUGGCGUAGUAUAAUGUGAUCUCAUUCUAUGUUACCAUAGAAACCUUCGUCUAAUUGUGAUUAAAUGCAUUUGUGAGUGAUCUCUUGGGACCCUACGAUACAAGCUUGCUAAGUGGGGACCGUUGUCAAUACAUUUAUUCAUUUCGUGCAUUACCGUAAAAUUAAUUCUUUGUAUAUUCGUUUAUAGCAAAAUCCUUUGUGUAAAUAAAUGUUUAUCAUUGAAUUUUUUUUUCAUUUUCAAUCCAAAUAUUGAAACGAAAUAUAAUUAUUGGAACUAAACUCGCUAGUUCGAAAAUUGUUUUAUUUAAUUCACAUAUGAUCCAUAUUUUUUAGGCUCGGUACAUAAAAAUAUACAAACAAAAACACUAUCCAGCUGAUGAGCUGAGGAAAUAUAUUGAAUGAUGAUUCAAUAUAUUUCCUAUUAUUGUACAAAGUAUGAAUUGCUAACAUGGAAAUAUUUUCAGUGGCAUCCUUCAUCAAAUCACCGAAAGGUAGUGUCAUGUUGAUCUAUCACGGCAAACGCUUCUCCAAAAACUAUAGUAACGGCGAUAAGAUAUCGUGGAGGUGCACCAAACUGGGCUGCAACGCGCGCGUCACCACCUACAAGGACACCGUCCUGGCCACCAAGAAUGAUCAUUUGCAUCCCCUGACCCUGGGGAAUUGAAUCAACUACUAAUUUAUAAAUGGUCUCAAUAUUAAUAUAAUUAUUAUGUGUCUAGUCAGUGACUUGUGAUCGUAGAAUGUAUUAAUGUGAAGUGCAAUAAUAUUUAUCAUAAUAUACUGACUGGUAGAUUAGAAGAACGAUUCGGCGUUAAGUCCGCCCUUAUAUAUUUUGUCCAAAAUCUAGAUGUAACUGAGUGUAUCAAUAAAAGAACGUAGAAGAAAACGCAUCGAGCGCCACAUUUCGUACUAACACCCAAAGGAACCACGAUGUUGAUUUUCAGAGGAAAGAAGUUUUCGAGGAACUACAAGAACGGGGACAAGGUGUCGUGGAAGUGCAACAAGGCGGGUUGUAAUGCGCGAAUCACCACGUACAGGAAUACAGUACUGGCGACCAAGAACUUCCACCAUCAUGUAUUACCUGGACAAGAAACAUAGAUGAUUAAUUUGAACCUUAUAAGGCAGAAUUGGAACGUUUAUAUUUUUAUUUCGUUCCUCAUUGUAUUAAAUACUUAAAUAUUCCGGUGAAUUAUACUUACACCAAAGAUUAAAUCUAUGAAUGGUAACUACGUAUCCAAAAUUAUAGUAGUCUUAUAUAGACUGCUUUUAUAUAGCAUGUGUGUAUCGUGUUUAUCAGUAGUUUGUAAUAAUAUGUAGGCAUUCACAUAUAUUUCUAUAUUUCUGUAUCUAAUCUUAGGAUACUUGUAUAAUAUAUAUGCAAUAUGCAUAGUAUAUUUUGUGGUAUAUCUAUAUUAAUCUGUAGAAUUUGUAAAUUAUACUAUCUUAGCUUUAAUUAUUUAUUUGUGUGAUUAACUUUUUGUGAUUAUAAAUUCUUCCGUAAUAUAUGUGAUGUAGAAUUAAAAUUAUAAUAAAGCCAAAUUUCAAUUAGACCACCUUUCUAAAUAUCUUUCUAAAUACCUUUGUAGUUGUACAUUAUCGUGCUGAAAAGUGGCAUUUGCAAAUAUGUAUAUAUUUUUUAGUAGAAUGUUUAUUUUAUAUAUAAUAUUUUUAUUAUAUAAUAUAGUACAUAAUAAAAUGUUUAAAUAUAAUUCAGAGACUUAAAUAUUCUAUUUAUUUGGGUUAAAUAUAUUUUGUUUACGUAAAUGUAAAGCAAAACCUGCUAUCAUGUAUCACAGAUUAAACUUAAAACAACUGAUAUAUUAACACGGUUCGUUUUAUUUGUAUUUUAUUUCUUUUCGCAAAUGGUUCAUUAUUGUAUGUCAAAAAAUCGUGUAAUAACAAAAUGGAUUAAUUUCAGAGGAUCCGGAGAAACUAUGUCGAUACACGUUGUACUCGUUUUACGACCUAGAAAUAGCUUUACAUCACUGCUCCAACGACUAAUUAGAAAACGAUAUUGGAAUCAAAAUCACUGCCAUAUGAUUACCUCACACUAUUACAGUGAAAUAUGUUCCUAGCAAAUUGCUUGCCAUUGUACUAUAUAAUGAAACUAUAUUAGGGCUGUAUUAGUAGAUGCAAUUUGGCUCCUAAGCGCGAUUUCAGCUGAGACGAUGUUAAAUUAAAAGGAGCAUCUCAAGAUAGCCGGUUUUAAUUAACAGAUAUCAACACCAAUUCAAAUGAUAUGUUAAGUCACAACAUCAACGGAUUUUGACAGCUUAGUUUUGUUUAUUAAAGAGCGCCGACUCAGCUGAAAACACGCGCUCAAGUGAUAUCUCAAGUUUAGUUUAUUAGAUAGUUUAAAAUUUUAAUUGUUUACAUAAGAUUCUACUUAAAAAAAGAAUUAGUUUAUUAAUAUGGCCCUUAGUGGUGGAUAACAACUUACGCUUUUAGGGAAAGUUUGAUUGUAAUGAUAAUGUUGUGGGUUCAUUGAUUCGUGAUCGCUUCGAAAGACCUUAAUCCAAUUGGAUUGAAGUGAAAGUGAUCAUGGUUAAUGGUUGGACGAUUGAGUCCCUAAUAUUAUUUAAUAAACACUUUAUUUUAAAACAGUUAAUACGGUAUUAUGAGUGCUAGUCUACUAAUAAUUACUUUUAUAUUUAUAUAGACUUGCAAGUGCAAAGCGCUGUAAUUGUGAACAAUAAAUAUACAUUUAUACUGCAAUGACAUGCUUUUUUAUUUAGAUACGAUAUGAUAAACAAUUAAAAAUCUCAGGGGUUUUAUUUCUGUCUAGAUAUUAAAAUGUGCAAUUCCAAAGUGGAUAAUCUCGGUGAGGCAUAUGCACUAACGAAGAAAGCGACUGGUACUAAAACAAAAUUUUCUAUUGUCACAAAGCAUUCUAUUAUAUAUUUAAUUCUAUUCUAACAGUGCAAGAAAUCUUCUGCAAUCAAGCUGAUCAAAAGGCAUUCGAAAACAUUUGCUACUAUCAUCGUUGUUGUCAUUCGGUGAAAUCGUAGUCUGUUAUAACAAGAGUUCCAGUAGUGAGCCAGUAUGUCAGACCUGUUCGGGAUUUUAAGAGUUGUCAUAUACGACGAAGAAGGCCAUCACGCCCAGCAUAUUGGAUAAGAUCGUUGCGCUGAGGUCUCCACUCUCUGCCCUAAGAAAUUUUGAAAGCUAUUGUUGUGUAUGUAAUUACUGAUAUAUUUCCUAUACUGUCGUGGUUUUAAUCAAGCGUAUUAACCGUUUAUAAAUACAUGUAAACUAAUAAUGCACAUUUCUAAAGACCGUGAGAUAUUUAACAAUCUGAAAAAGAAACGCAGUCGUAAUUCACAGUGCAAAUUAACAUUCGUUUCCUCUGUAGUAGUAUUGACAGCGCUGUAACAUUCGCAGAUGAUAGCAACGGUGUGCUCAUACCGUCAGGGAGGACUGGCAGCAAGAAAUUCUUGCUAAUGCUAGACGGAUACACGUAUUCGCAAAUAAAUUACGGCAAGACAUGGGUUUGUUCGUCGGCGAAAGCCCAGAACUGCCCGGCGAAGGUGCGGCGCCUGGUCGACGGCCAGUUGGUGAGGGUGCAUGUGCAGCAUGAGCACCCACCCCCUCGGUAUUACAUUAGCAACGGGCUAUACUGUAAGCUAAGAAUAUGAAAUAUAUGUGUGGAACAGA
rnacentral:lncRNA from 1 species